GCUUGUCUAUAUGUUCAUUUGCAAACUUCAAACGCUGAUUUUUGUGGUGAGGACGUAGAAGAGGUUUUCUUCUGAUGACUUUUCCAUGAAGACCAUAUUUGUACAGUUUCAGUGUUCUACACAACUGCUUAGAGGAACCCAUGGUGCUGAUUGUUGGAGCAAGGUCAGAUGAGUCUGGGCUUUUAAAACCUUUGAGAUUGACAUCACCUGGUCUUUCCAGACGAUGAUUGAGAACAAUCCAUGACACUGCCAGGUCUCAGCUGUCCAAAGGGGGCAGUACAAGAAGUCCCUUCUCCAUCCGCACGACUCAAGAUUGAACGGAGAUGUACACGCAUGAACAUGUGCGUCUUUAUACUCGCCGUCCAGAAAUGCCUACUUCACACUGGUCUCUAUUUGCACAAGAUGUGGCACACACGCGCCUAGUAGUGACCUUGGACACGUUGUGCGGCGCAUGCAAUUUGCAAUUUAGACACAUGCGCAGUCAGCUGUAAAAUGGGAAAUUACAUUUCAGAAUUAGUCCUUAUGUAAUCAUUUCUGAAAAGUAUUUUUCUAAAUUAAGAUUGUAAUUACCGGUAGUAAUUAUUCGGAAAACAAUAUAUAUGGAGGUGAUUUCAAAAUGCUCCUAUCAGCGUUUCUGUUGGAGCAUUCCCAGAAGCAGUGCAAGUGUCUAGUGUACACUAAUUGACAUUUUGAGUAUAAACGUGAAUCUAAUACAUUAUUAAAUAU